CUCUAUAUAUCUAAGUUAAGAGCUGGGUUCUUACUCCAGUAAUGUGUUUGCACACUGUAGAGU
rnacentral:tRNA from 1 species